AUGCUAGGUAUACACUACAUCACCAGCCCUCCUUUUAGAUUUUAGUUGUCAUAUUAAGGGGGCGAUCUCCUUACUAGUCAUUGUUUAACUAGUUUUAUAUUCAUUGUUCAAAAGCAAUUAUUUAGGUCAUGUUUAAUAGUGACCAUUACAAUGUUCAGCAAUCUGAUUAGAAUGAAAAAUUUUUUUUAAAGAUUUAUUUAUUUAUUAUAUGUAAGUACACUGUAGCUGUCUUCAGACACUCCAGAAGAGGGAGUCAGAUCUCAUUAUGGGUGGUUGUGAGCCACCAUGUGGUUGCUGGGAUUUGAACUCCGGACCUUCGGAAGAACAGUCGGGUGCUCUUACCCGCUGAGCCAUCUCACCAGCCCCUAGAAUGAAAAUUUUUAAAGUUUAAAAAAUAAUGCUGUUCACAGUAUAUGAUGCAUGAUAAUGCUCCCCCUUUCUGCGAAAUGGAUACUUCUCUUUAGAAGUGUAACAAAUAUAGAUUGAGCUGUGUUAGAUUGUAAAUAAAUAUUUUAGUAAAGACUGGUAUCUUUCUCUAGGUUGGUUAUCUCAGUUUUGAGUUUUACGGUGUCUGUGGGAAUGACUCUUUUGAACAUCCAGAGUUGUAAUUAUCUAGGGUAUAAGGGGCAAUUUGACUGAGUUAACCUUAACACUGCUGUUAUUCUGUAGAGAAAAUGUGAACCCUGAUUAUAUAUAAAAAUAACUAAGAUCUACAGCUGUAAUUAUGAAAUUGGCUUCCAUCAUUGCCAGUGUGAAAAUAUAUAUAUUCUGACAUUUCCUGGAUACUCCUGUUAAGUUGAGCAGCUUUUACACAGCCACAAGCCCUCAGCUCCCUGUGUACUACUUUAAUUUCCGGGGUGGUGGUGGGGGGUGGGGAGCUGCUUGGAUCGAUCUAUUGGCAUCAAGGCCCGUGAAGGCAGAGGUUUAUAGAGCUAUGGGGAGGGAGCCACACUUGUCUGCAGUCCAGAGUGAACACUAGCCCUGCUGCAUUUGAACACCACAUGACAGGCCUCCCUGGAACCACAAAUCAAAAGACAUGGGCAGACUGAAAGCUGAAUAGGUUACGUUGAGCUCCCAUCAAGUUUUAGUAGCUGUAGUGUAUAACCUUGGCCAGGUGGCUAUUCAGCCACAGUUACGUUCAUCUCUAAAAUGCAAGUCACACCUAGACACUUUCUAGGAUUUGGUUGAGAAAAGACAGGUACUUUCGGCCUCAGUAGCUCCUAAAGGUGGUCGUCCCAUCUAGGACAGGGCAGUAACCAAGGGUAGGGCCCUCGAGGACAGAGCCAGCACAGACUUGAGGAUUUGUGAGUAUGCUGUUCUCCGAUUUUCUUUCUUUUUCUUCCUUCCUUCCUUCCUUCCUUCCUUCCUUCCUUCCUUCCUUCCUUCCUUUCUUUUUGUCCUAGAAAUGUCACAUUUAAACCUUUUUUUAAAAAAAUUAGAAUUCAGUGAUUAGUAAAAUUCUAUUGUAGAAGUUAACUCCAUCUAAGUUGGCUGAAAAUGUUCAUUACUUACCAAAUGGUUGAAGAAUAUAUAAUUAAGUGGCUUCAUUAGUCACUGCCUUGCUAAUUUUGCUGUAUUUUUUUUUCUAAUUCCUUGUUUUUAAUAUAGAAAACUCAAUACUGGCUGAAAUAGGUUGAAUAAACAAUUUUUAUGCUC
rnacentral:lncRNA from 1 species